GCCUUAAGAAGUCCGGUGUUUGGAAAAGGCUAUAGAAGAUUUAAAGAAGAAGGUUAUCUGUUGUCCCUGGGCCAGGCCCCGUCCGUCAGACUGGAAUGCCGCUCAGGAACUGGAAGGCUUCCAAAGACUCCCCUGUCCCUUCUGGGUGGACCCCCUGCGUGUCGUUACACACAUCUGUGUCCUGGGGGUCUAGUGGAGGGCGGGAGCCUGGGAAGCUCCACGUGACCUACAGAGGAGUACGGAUUAGAGGCGGAGACUGCACUUCUAGGCCCUGUGAAAGGCCGUGUGGGACUCAGCUCCGAGAGAGAGAGGCUGUGGUCAGGGCAGACAAGACUUCACCUGGGUGUCCCCACACAAGAAACAUCCUGACCAUUGAGGAACAGACUGUGUACGGAAGGCUCCCAAUCGCUUUCAGAAGCUCUCCAAGGGCCGCUUCAGCUCAGCUCAUUGGCA
rnacentral:lncRNA from 12 species